UGUGAGUGGAGGGUACAGCUAGCGAACUGUGUGACUAAGGAGACAAACUCCAGUGUGCAUUGUGACUUGGGUUGACUUGGCUCUGAGUCAUAUGGGUUUACUCUGAGUCAUAUAGGUAGCCACUGGAGGCUUCUGAGCAGAGUGACAUGAUCCGAUUUAUGAGUCGAAAAGGGCACUUCCACUGUUGUGCUGGGGGGCAGGAAGGUGGACAACAGGCACUGGUUAGGGAGCUAUUGCCAUAAUCCAGGCUCUGGCAGGUGGUAGUUCAGAUCAGGGUGGUAGCAGUGAGUUUGGGGACAUUUCAUCUUGAAAGCUCACUGCUGAACUUGGACUGCAGAGGGAGGUUGGAGUCAGAGAGAGGAGCUGGAGGUUACACCACCAUGCGGGCAGAGAUGAGGUGCCUCACCAGAAUAGGAGCAUGGCUCUGUCCAUAAGGGCUUUAUUGGUUUAUUUGCACGCCAGCCCAAAGGGUUUCACCAUGACCUAGUCAUCUUUGCUGAUGAAGGAGAGGGUUCAGAAUCCAUCAAAGCCAGGGAUUUGAAAGUUGCCGAUUUGACAGACCAUUUUGAGAUUUGCUGUUGCUCUUUUUAAAACAAAAUGUUUCAAACCCACUAUCUUAAGUUACUUUCUUCAUCACUGAGACACAAUAUCUGACACCUGAAAAUUAAGGGUAAAAAGGUUUAUUUUG
rnacentral:lncRNA from 1 species